GAAAUAUUGAAUGUAGAAAUAUUAUGUAUUCUAUAGAUGAAGAAUUGAAGUUCAAAAAGGGAGAAAAGCCGGAUGAAUUUGACUUGGAUGAAUAGAAGGCUACUAUAUACAGAAGGUUGUCUUUAUUCCCUAUUGGAGAAACAAGCCAUUUAUUUCUUUUGGUUUUGGUUAAUGAGGAAUUCUUAUUAAGUGAGUCUGUCUCGAUGAUACCAGUUGUACUGGCUAAUAUAUUCAAUAAAAGCAUUUUAUUUCUCUGAA